rnacentral:pre_miRNA from 1 species
AGUAGNCUCCCUCCGUCUGGAAUUACUUGUCAUCAAAAUGGAUGUGUCUAGAACUAAAAUACAUCUAGAUACAUCCAUUUCAAUGACAAGUAUUUUCGGACGGAGGGAGUACAAG